rnacentral:rRNA from 1 species
AUUGAACGCUGGCGGCAGGCCUAACACAUGCAAGUCGAGCGGAUGAAGGGAGCUUGCUCCUGGAUUCAGCGGCGGACGGGUGAGUAAUGCCUAGGAAUCUGCCUGGUAGUGGGGGAUAACGUCCGGAAACGGGCGCUAAUACCGCAUACGUCCUGAGGGAGAAAGUGGGGGAUCUUCGGACCUCACGCUAUCAGAUGAGCCUAGGUCGGAUUAGCUAGUUGGUGGGGUAAAGGCCUACCAAGGCGACGAUCCGUAACUGGUCUGAGAGGAUGAUCAGUCACACUGGAACUGAGACACGGUGCAGACUCCUACGGGAGGCAGCAGUGGGGAAUAUUGGACAAUGGGCGAAAGACUGAUCCAGCCAUGCCGCGUGUGUGAAGAAGGUCUUCGGAUUGUAAAGCACUUUAAGUUGGGAGGAAGGGCAGUAAGUUAAUACCUUGCUGUUUUGACGUUACCAACAGAAUAAGCACCGGCUAACUUCGUG